CAGAGAUUAAGCCCGUGACAGGCGUGCGUGAAACCUUCGUGGUAUAUACGCACGUGUAAAACUUUUACUCACCCAUGUCUAACGGCGCGUGCCGCUGCUUCUUGCCAGGAUGUUGUAUUUUCUCACCAGACGGCGCUGUCAUCACGUUGCGCACGCAGUGGCACACGUGUCCUUGUAACUGUCUAUAUAAUACAAUGUUCGCUGAGUUGGAAGAAGUAAGAAUAUUUGACAUCCAAAGUUGUAACUGUAAAAACUCAUAAGUCUCAAAAUGAUGAUGAAAAUUGUGAUAUUUGUUGCAGUAGUGUUUGCCUGUAUGUUUGCUCUGGGAGACGCCCAUUGCCACAAGUGUGGAGGAGGUUGUGGUAGCAGUUCCAAGAAAAUCGUCGAGGUGGACGACCACGCCUUUUUCCAGACGCUGCUCGCACUCACUGCUGCCGCCGGCGCCGGCGGUGCAGGUGGAGCUGGGGGUCUAGGGGGAUUCGGAAAGAAAUAGAGGAAUCACGUGACACGUGGCGUCUGCUCAAAAAUGGUGAAUUCGACAACUAUGGACCUCAGAAGAUACACACCAUAAACACACAGGUGUCGAAGACCAUUGUUAGCAUUGUUAUUGUAAUCAGGUUUCCAGCAUGUUAUGUUAAAUAAAUACUGUGUUGAAUUCA